rnacentral:rRNA from 1 species
GAUGAACGCUGGCGGCGUGCCUAACACAUGCAAGUCGAACGGAGUCCAGCCUUUAAGACCUUCGGGUCAAAGAGGGGAAGACUGAGUGGCGGACGGGUGAGUAACACGUGGGCAACCUGGCUCAUAGAGGGGGAUAACAGAGAGAAAUUUCUGCUAAUACCGCAUAAGCACACACUGCCGCAUGGCAGAGGGUGAAAAGAGAAUCGCUAUGAGAUGGACCCGCGUCUGAUUAGCCGGUUGGCAGGGUAAGAGCCUACCAAAGCGACGAUCAGUAGCCGAUCUGAGAGGAUGAACGGCCACAUUGGGACUGAGACACGGCCCAAACUCCUACGGGAGGCAGCAGUGGGGGAUAUUGCACAAUGGGGGGAACCCUGAUGCAGCGACGCCGCGUGAGUGAAGAAGUAUUUCGGUAUGUAAAGCUCUAUCAGCAGGGAAGAUAAUGACAGUACCUGAAGAAGAAGCCCCGGCUAACUACGUG